CCUACGGGUGGCAGCAGUGGGGAAUAUUGGGCAAUGGGCGCAAGCCUGACCCAGCAACGCCGCGUGAAGGAAGAAGGCUUUCGGGUUGUAAACUUCUUUUCUCAGGGACGAAGAAAGUGACGGUCCCUGAGGAAUAAGCCACGGCUAACUACGUGCCAGCAGCCGCGGUAAUACGGAGGAUGCGAGCGUUAUCCGGAUUUAUUGGGUUUAAGGGGUGCGUAGGCGGAUUUUUAAGUCAGCGGUAAAAUGUCCGGGCUCAACCCGGGCCGGCCGUUAAAACUGGGGAUCUUGAGUGGGCGAGAAGUAUGCGGAAUGCGUGGUGUAGCGGUGAAAUGCAUAGAUAUCACGCAGAACUCCGAUUGCGAAGGCAGCUUACUAAACUGCCACUGACAUUGAUGCUCGAAAGUGUGGGUAUCAAACAGGAUUAGAUACCCUAGUAGUC
rnacentral:rRNA from 1 species